rnacentral:lncRNA from 1 species
GCGGUUUUGGGAAGAAGGGGAUCUGAUUCUUGGUAACUGCUACCCCAGGCGGUUGGGGACAGUUUAACUCGUCCUCUCUCUCUCUUUUCUACCAUUCUGGUCGAUUUUAUUCAUCUGGACACAGAGAAAAACACAGUAAAAAUUCAAGAGAGAAAGAGAGACACAAACCUUGGAUUGACCGAUUUGAUCCAAGUGAUUGUUCUUGAGUGUUCGUGGUGUGUUUGGGCGUGUGAUCAAGAGGAUGGAUUUGAGACAGAAAGACAAGGAGAAGGCAAAGGAGAAAGAGAAGGAAGUCGCCCCUGGAGACCGAACUCCUAAGGUGAGAGGUGUGGCCAAGAGUAACCGGACAAGGCCGCGGAUGAUAGCCGUGUGAGUCUGGCCGGUUUGGAUCGAUUGGUCACUCCUUACUCUGACUUCUUCUACUCUGUUUUCUUCAUGUAUAUUGUAUUAGGAAUUGUUUUAUGAUGUUACAGGGAAGAAUCUAUUGAUCUUAAGGCCUUGGCCUGAUCAAAUCCCCAUGAAAGUCCCUUGUUCUUGUGUGGGCUGAUCAUGGCCG